rnacentral:rRNA from 1 species
CGGCGACGGGUGAGUAACACGUGGAUAACCUACCUAUAAGACUGGGAUAACUUCGGGAAACCGGAGCUAACACCGGAUAAUAUUUUGAACCGCAUGGUUCAAAAGUGAAAGACGGUCUUGCUGUCACUUAUAGAUGGAUCCGCGCUGCAUUAGCUAGUUGGUAAGGUAACGGCUUACCAAGGCAACGAUGCAUAGCCGACCUGAGAGGGUGAUCGGCCACACUGGAACUGAGACACGGUCCAG